ACGAACGCUGGCGGCGUGCUUAACACAUGCCAGUCGCACGGAAAGGCCCUGCUUUUGUGGGGUGCUCGCGUGGCGAACGGGUGAGUAACACGUGAGUAACCUGCCCUUGACUUUGGGAUAACUUCAGGAAACUGGGGCUAAUACCGGAUAGGAGCUCCUGCUGCAUGGUGGGGGUUGGAAAGUUUCGGCGGUUGGGGAUGGACUCGCGGCUUAUCAGCUUGUUGGUGGGGUAGUGGCUUACCAAGGCUUUGACGGGUAGCCGGCCUGAGAGGGUGACCGGCCACAUUGGGACUGAGAUACGGCCCAGACUCCUACGGGAGGCAGCAGUGGGGAAUAUUGCACAAUGGGCGGAAGCCUGAUGCAGCAACGCCGCGUGCGGGAUGACGGCCUUCGGGUUGUAAACCGAUUUCGCCUGUGACGAAGCGUGAGUGACGGUAAUGGGUAAAGAAGCACCAGCUAACUACGUG
rnacentral:rRNA from 1 species